rnacentral:rRNA from 1 species
UACGGAGGGUGCAAGCGUUGCUCGGAAUCACUGGGCGUAAAGCGGGCGCAGGCGGUCUCGCAAGUCGGGUGUGAAAGCCCGGGGCUCAACCCCGGAAAUGCAUUCGAAACUGCGGGACUUGAGUACGGGAGAGGGGAGCGGAAUUCCUGGUGUAGAGGUGAAAUUCGUAGAUAUCAGGAGGAACACCGGUGGCGAAAGCGGCUCCCUGGUCCGAUACUGACGCUCAUGUCCGAAAGCGUGGGUAGCAAACAGG